rnacentral:rRNA from 1 species
UACGGAGGGGGCUAGCGUUGUUCGGAAUUACUGGGCGUAAAGCGCACGUAGGCGGCUUUGCAAGUUAGAGGUGAAAGCCCGGGGCUCAACCCCGGAAUUGCCUUUAAAACUGCAUCGCUAGAAUUGUGGAGAGGUAAGUGGAAUUCCGAGUGUAGAGGUGAAAUUCGUAGAUAUUCGGAAGAACACCAGUGGCGAAGGCGACUUACUGGACACAUAUUGACGCUGAGGUGCGAAAGCGUGGGGAGCAAACGGG